GACGAACGCUGGCGGCGUGCUUAACACAUGCAAGUCGAACGGAAAGGCCCUGCUUUUGUGGGGUGCUCGAGUGGCGAACGGGUGAGUAACACGUGAGUAACCUGCCCUUGACUUUGGGAUAACUUCAGGAAACUGGGGCUAAUACCGGAUAGGAGCUCCUGCUGCAUGGUGGGGGUUGGAAAGUUUCGGCGGUUGGGGAUGGACUCGCGGCUUAUCAGCUUGUUGGGGGGGUAGUGGCUUACCAAGGCUUUGACGGGUAGCCGGCCUGAGAGGGUGACCGGCCACCUUGGGACUGAGAUACGGCCCAGACUCCUACGGGACGCAGCAGUGGGGAAUAUUGCACAAUGGGCGGAAGCCUGAUGCAGCAACGCCGCGUGCGGGAUGACGGCCUUCGGGUUGUAAACCGCUUUCGCCUGUGACGAAGCGUGAGUGACGGUAAUUGGUAAAGAAGCACCGGCUAACUACGUG
rnacentral:rRNA from 1 species